UGGCGCAGCCUGAUCCAGCCAUGCCGCGUGAGUGAUGAAGGCCUUAGGGUUGUAAAGCUCUUUUGUCCGGGACGAUAAUGACGGUACCGGAAGAAUAAGCCCCGGCUAACUUCGUGCCAGCAGCCGCGGUAAUACGAAGGGGGCUAGCGUUGCUCGGAAUCACUGGGCGUAAAGGGCGCGUAGGCGGUCUUUUAAGUCGGGGGUGAAAGCCUGUGGCUCAACCACAGAAUUGCCUUCGAUACUGGAAGACUUGAGACCGGAAGAGGACAGCGGAACUGCGAGUGUAGAGGUGAAAUUCGUAGAUAUUCGCAAGAACACCAGUGGCGAAGGCGGCUGUCUGGUCCGGUUCUGACGCUGAGGCGCGAAAGCGUGGGGAGCAAACAGGAUUAGAUACCCUGGUAGUCCACGCCGUAAACGAUGAUGCCAGCCGUUGGCCUGCUUGCAGGUCAGUGGCGCCGCUAACGCAUUAAGCAUUCCGCCUGGG
rnacentral:rRNA from 1 species